rnacentral:rRNA from 1 species
GCGCAUAACACAUGCAAGUCGAGCGAGGUCUUAUUUCCCGCAAGGGAGAUGAGUUCCUAGCGGCGAACGGGUGAGUAACACGUGGGCAACCUUUCCUAUCGCGGGGGAUAACACCGGGAAACCGAUGCUAAUACCGCAUGCUGUCACCGGUCGCAUGGCCGGUGAACAAAGCAGCAAUGCACGAUUGGGUGGGCCCGCGGCCUAUCAGCUAGUCGGUGGGGUAACGGCCUACCGAGGCGAUGACGGGUAGCUGGUCUGAGAGGACGGCCAGCCACACGGGGACUGAGACACGGCCCCG